CUCUCCCCGGCGCUCCGUUGUGCGGCGCGGUGCUGGCUGCGCUGCGCGGCUGGAGCUGCGCUGCGCGGCUCGAACUGCGCCCGUCCCUGGUGCUGCGCCGAGCCCGAUUUGUGCCGGCAGCCGCGGCAGGACGGCCGGAGAGCUGUAUCCUUUGACUCAACAAGAUCUAUUUACUGUGCAAAUUGGAGAAAACCAUCUGGUGAAGCUGCUGUCAGGCUGAGACAUGCUUACUGUGAAAAAGAGAAAAGAUCCUGACAGGAUUAACUCCUGUAAGGAGAGUGGAUCAAGCCAAGCAGUUUGUGUAAAGAAACGAACAAAACAGCUGAGACA